rnacentral:rRNA from 1 species
AUGUUCCACGGAUCCAUCCCAUGUGAUGCCUGGAAGCUCACCUGGAAGUGUUGGGCGCCGCCCCGGGUACGUUUCUUCCAUUGGCUCGCCCACCUAGAUCGAUGCUGGACCGCCGACCGCCUCGCCUGUCGCGGCCUACAGCAUCCCGCGCGCUGCCCACUCUGUGACCAGGCGCCGGAGACCAUCCAGCAUCUCCUCCUCGCCUGCCUGUUCUCUCGGUAG